rnacentral:rRNA from 1 species
AGUCGAGCGAACUGAUUAGAAGCUUGCUUCUAUGACGUUAGCGGCGGACGGGUGAGUAACACGUGGGCAACCUGCCUGUAAGACUGGGAUAACUUCGGGAAACCGAAGCUAAUACCGGAUAGGAUCUUCUCCUUCAUGGGAGAUGAUUGAAAGAUGGUUUCGGCUAUCACUUACAGAUGGGCCCGCGGUGCAUUAGCUAGUUGGUGAGGUAACGGCUCACCAAGGCAACGAUGCAUAGCCGACCUGAGAGGGUGAUCGGCCACACUGGGACUGAGACACGGCCCAGACUCCUACGGGAGGCAGCAGUAGGGAAUCUUCCGCAAUGGACGAAAGUCUGACGGAGCAACGCCGCGUGAGUGAUGAAGGCUUUCGGGUCGUAAAACUCUGUUGUUAGGGAAGAACAAGUACAAGAGUAACUGCUUGUACCUUGACGGUACCUAACCAGAAAGCCACGGCUAACUACGUGCCAGCAGCCGCGGUAAUACGUAGGUGGCAAGCGUUAUCCGGAAUUAUUGGGCGUAAAGCGCGCGCAGGCGGUUUCUUAAGUCUGAUGUGAAAGCCCACGGCUCAACCGUGGAGGGUCAUUGGAAACUGGGGAACUUGAGUGCAGAAGAGAAAAGCGGAAUUCCACGUGUAGCGGUGAAAUGCGUAGAGAUGUGGAGGAAC